rnacentral:rRNA from 1 species
AGCGAACGCUGGCGGCAGGCUUAACACAUGCAAGUCGAACGGGCGUAGCAAUACGUCAGUGGCAGACGGGUGAGUAACGCGUGGGAACGUACCUUUUGGUUCGGAACAACCCAGGGAAACUUGGGCUAAUACCGGAUAAGCCCUUACGGGGAAAGAUUUAUCGCCGAAAGAUCGGCCCGCGUCUGAUUAGCUAGUUGGUGAGGUAACGGCUCACCAAGGCGACGAUCAGUAGCUGGUCUGAGAGGAUGAUCAGCCACAUUGGGACUGAGACACGGCCCAAACUCCUACGGGAGGCAGCAGUGGGGAAUAUUGGACAAUGGGCGCAAGCCUGAUCCAGCCAUGCCGCGUGAGUGAUGAAGGCCCUAGGGUUGUAAAGCUCUUUUGUGCGGGAAGAUAAUGACGGUACCGCAAGAAUAAGCCCCGGCUAACUUCGUGCCAGCCG